rnacentral:rRNA from 1 species
AUUGAACGCUGGCGGCAUGCCUUACACAUGCAAGUCGAACGGCAGCACGGGCUUCUGCCUCCCGUGGCGUUUGCGGCGGGUGAGUAAUUCACACGUGCAUACCCUACCUAGAAGGAUAGCUCGACGAAAGCCAAACUAAUAUCGCACACGACAUUAUAUUGAAAGCGAGGGAUCAUUAGUGCACGCGCGUUUUGCGCUCCCGUAGGGAUGGAUCCACGCCGCAUUAGCUAGUUGGUAGGGUAACGGCUUACCAAGGCGACGAUGCGUAGACGACCUGAGAGGAUGAUCAGCCACACUGGAACUGAGACACGGCCCAGACUCCUACGGGAGGCAGCAGUGGGGAAUUUUGGACAAAGGGCGAAAGCCUGAUCGAGCAAUGCCGCGUGUGUGAUGAAGGCCUUCGGGUUGUAAAGCACUGUUGUCGGGAAAGAAAAAAAGUGUGAGAAUACAAGCGUGGGAUGACGGUACCCGAAGAAUAAGCACCGGCUAACUACGUG